ACUGAGUUUAUUGCUAUCUCCUUAAAAUCUGGCCCUGAGGGAAGUGUCUGACCCUAGUCCCAGCCCUUCCCCCCUGCCCCCAACACAGGCCCUCACACCUGUAAGCUUCUUGAGGACAUGGCCUGGACCUAAUUAGUCCUGGACCUAAUUAUUUCACGUGAUCCAUAGCACUUACCCUAGUAUCAGCACAAUUUAAGUGCAUAGCAACUGUUUGUUGAAGUAACCUAAACAACUAAUUGUAGAACAAGACGCUCAUUUAUUCUUCAAUGAGCCAGACAUCAUUCCAGGGUCAAGAAUAUGUAGUUUAAUAUGAGUUAAUUCUUUGAGUUAAUUCCCUCAGGGCCUCAGUGAAACUUGGCUGAACUGAGGAAGUAUCACUGUGGAGCUCAGAAGGGAAGUAGGGUCUCCAUGGUUAACGUUGGAGAAGAACGUUCCAGGUGGAGGAGACAGUUGGAAUGAAGGGACGACGAUGCUUGCCUUUCUGGGGAAAUGGAGCACGUUUAGGAGGCCUUGCAGGAAAGCCUAUGAAAUGUUUCCAUCUCUGGGAUCAGGACGUUGACAGGAUUUGACGGUCAGGCAACCUUGGAUUCAAAGCUUUGCUUGUAACCUCUGAGCUCAGUUGAUGUUAUGCAAUGAACACCUGUAGUUCUCUUUGCAACGCCUUCAGCAAAUGUGUGCUGGUUUUUACAACAGGACGCCAGUGAGACAGUUUGAAAGGAGACAUAGAAGCCAGCUGUCUUAAAGUAAGCAUGCGUAGCUGUGCGUAAGCACCUUGCCAGCUCUAAAGCACGAUGCCAAAAAUACGCACGUGGCAGAAAUAAAGGAAAACAGAGCAGAGUAUAUUGAAGUGGU
rnacentral:lncRNA from 1 species